CCAAGAUCCUGUCGCGUUCGCACUCCUUCGCAUUCGGUUGCUCUAGCUACCGAAUCGAACCAGCGCGAGCGCUACCUAAUUAACUCAUCGGUCGAUUGAUUUUCCAUCAAAUACUUCCAUCUUCUACACCACUAUCGUUUCUUCUUCUCCACCAAAUAAAUGACCUAAUUAACUCAUUGGUCGAUUGAUUUUCCAUCAAAUAUCUCCAUCUUCUACACCGCUGUCGUUUCUUCUUCUCCACCAAAUAAAUGGAGGAGUAAUAGAUGGGAUUCUUCCCACGACGCGAUUCUCUGAUGAACUCUCGGACAGUGUUCCCGUUCUCGAUGUGGUGCAUGCCUCUGCGAUCCCCUAGUCCUCCUCUUGCUUUGGUGUCUCUGUUCUGGCCACGGUGGCUCGAGCCAGUUCCACUGGAAUUUGACUGGCGUUGACAUGCGGAGCUGGUCCGGGUAUGGCUUCCUUUCCGGUUUGGAAAGAUGGUGCGGUGGCGACUCGGGCUCAGCCAUAUGGACUGGACGCGACUGCUGCCCAUCCCGACUGCGCGCCAUCCUCAUCCAGAGUACAACUCCUCCCGCGGGUGCGACCCCGGCUGAUUCAGCCAUGAGAAGUUCUUCCCUUUUCUGUUGCUGGUGGAUUUGCUGCCAACGACUAUAGUGACGCCAUCUGUUAGCUUUAAGGUAUUUAAAGUAUUUCAUAUCUAAAAAUCAGUAAGUAUGUUGGCGAACACCCGUUUGAGGCUACAGGUUAGUGUGAUAUUAUGUAAUUCAACCUAUCUGAAUUCUAUUACAGUAUAUGUUGUUAGUUAUUAUGCAUAGAUGUCAAUUAAAUUAAACUGGAAGAAGAUGAUGUAUAAUCCAACUGAUCGGAAGGAUGAGCUAAUUGCACAUCAACUCAAUCCGCUCAUCAACUGAAUUUGUGUUUUCCAAUUGCAGUUUUGUCAUCUACACGAACCGCAACAGCCGAUCAAAGCUCAACCUCUCUCCCUUAAAAAAAGGUUCAAUUGUGAUAGUUCGCAGCCGUUGAAAUUCGAAGUCAGGUUGCUGCCACCGUGGAGUCAUCGAUGCCUAUGCAGAGAGUUUAACUGCCUCGCCUGCCAGGCUUUGCAUACUAUUCGUGCUGUUCUUGACUAUGAAUGGAAUGCUAUGGAUCCUGCCUGCUCUAUUAUUAGGAUGGUUCAUCUAUAAGCUUUUUCUUUCUCUAGAUAUAAUUUUCAUGGUGGAAUUUUUUCUUGCUAGAUAUGCUUAUCUGUAGUUCGCUAUGUGAUGUGCCCUUUGAGUAGGUUCGGUAAGACAGGUUGCUAAUUAUUAAAAGCUAGAAAUUCUCCUCUCCACCAUUUGUCCCCAUAUGCAGCCUUGCCCAAAGAUGUAUUAAUCAACAUAUGGUAUGCCAACCCAAAUUCCUUGUGCGGGUGUGUCUCUGUAAGUGUACAUCAUAUUAUAUAUGUCCUUAUAUGUGCCUACUUUUGAACCCAUAGAUUUUUCUCCUAUAAGCAUGUGAAUGGUAAAACGCUCCUGCGUGCACCACCUAUUGCCUCAUCAUCAUGGCUUAAGCCUGCACGCGUGUUGGUAACUUUGACGAGGUGGCUAACUGAUCAUGAUCAAUAGAAUUCUGAGUUAGAGCGUUCAUGUAUCCAUGAUUUGGUUUACUAUUUUUAUUGGUUUAUUAGUUCUCUACAUUUUUUAAGACAUGGAAUCUUUUUUCAGAGGAAUCCAAUACUGCAUGGAAAAUCAGAUGUUGCAAUAUUCAAUGCAGAUUCAGCGGCAAAUUCAUACCUAAGUGAACACAAAGAUCUCAUUUUCCUAUUGUGUCAUGCUGAUUGGCAGGAGUGAGCCGGCGUACAUGGACGACAUUGUUGUCAACUCGGCUAGGGGAUCCAAUCUCCUGGAUGACCUCAUUGAGAUGUUUACUAACUUGAGGAUGUACAAGAUCAAGCUAAACUUGAACAAGUGCGUGUUCGGAGUGCCCCACAAUAAUAUUACUUGGUUGUCUUGAGUCCGCACAAGGGAUGGAGGAAAACCCGUAGAACACCAAUGCAAACGUCAAUAUGUCCCAAUGAAAGUAUCCAAGGGAUGUCAGAGACUGAUCGGGUGCCUUGUUGUACUCAGUUGCUUUAUAUCCAAACUUAGUGAGAAGGUCUUGUGUCUUUACCGAUGGAUGGAAAAAAAUCUAAUAAUUUCAAGUGGACAACGGAAGUCCAGUCGGCUUUUGAUGACCUGAAGCAGCUGCUUUCCAUGCGGCCAGUAC